rnacentral:rRNA from 1 species
GAUGAACGCUGGCGGCGUGCCUAAUACAUGCAAGUCGAGCGAACUGAUUAGAAGCUUGCUUCUAUGACGUUAGCGGCGGACGGGUGAGUAACACGUGGGCAACCUGCCUGUAAGACUGGGAUAACUUCGGGAAACCGAAGCUAAUACCGGAUAGGAUCUUCUCCUUCAUGGGAGAUGAUUGAAAGAUGGUUUCGGCUAUCACUUACAGAUGGGCCCGCGGUGCAUUAGCUAGUUGGUGAGGUAACGGCUCACCAAGGCAACGAUGCAUAGCCGACCUGAGAGGGUGAUCGGCAACACUGGGACUGAGACACGGCCCAGACUCCUACGGGAGGCAGCAGUAGGGAAGCUUCCGCAAUGGACGAAAGUCUGACGGAGCAACGCCGCGUGAGUGAUGAAGGCUUUCGGGUCGUAAAACUCUGUUGUUAGCGAAGAACAAGUACGAGAGUAACUGCUCGUACCUUGACGGUACCUAACCAGAAAGCCACGGCUAACUACGUGCCAGCCGCCGCAGUAAUAC